rnacentral:rRNA from 1 species
AACGAACGCUGGCGGCAUGCCUAACACAUGCAAGUCGAACGAGACCUUCGGGUCUAGUGGCGCACGGGUGCGUAACGCGUGGGAACCUGCCCUUAGGUUCGGAAUAACUCCCCGAAAGGGGUGCUAAUACAGGAUAAUGUCUUCGGACCAAAGAUUUAUCUCCUUUGGAUGGGCCCGCGUUGGAUUAGCUAGUUGGUAGGGUAAAAGCCUACCAAGGCGACGAUCCAUAGCUGGUCUGAGAGGAUGAUCAGCCACACUGGGACUGAGACACGGCCCAGACUCCUACGGGAGGCAGCAGUGGGGAAUAUUGGACAAUGGGCGAAAGCCUGAUCCAGCAAUGCCGCGUGAGUGAUGAAGGCCUUAGGGUUGUAAAGCUCUUUUACCCGGGAUGAUAAUGACAGUACCGGGAGAAUAAGCUCCGGCUAACUCCGUG